rnacentral:rRNA from 1 species
AGAACGAACGCUGGCGGCAUGCCUAACACAUGCAAGUCGAACGCUCUUGGGGCUUCGGUCUCAGGGGAGUGGCGCACGGGUGAGUAGCGCGUGGGAACCUGCCCUGUUGUGGGGGAUAACCGAGGGAAACUUCGGCUAAUACCGCAUAAGCCGGUUGUCUUGAAGGAGAUGGCCGGGAAAGAUUUAUCGCGACAGGAGGGGCCCGCGGCUGAUUAGCUAGUUGGCGGGUAACGGCCCACCAAGGCGAAGAUCGGUA